CCUAGGAUUGGCUUUGGGCUUUUCCUGCGUAGCUUAAGUGAAAGGCGAAGAAGGCCCCCUUCUAGGGGGGUGAGCCAUCAAUGCGAUACCACUCUAGAAGAGCUCAGAUUCUAACCUUGUGUCAGACCCGUGGGCCAAGGGACAGUCACAGGUAG
rnacentral:ncRNA from 1 species